rnacentral:rRNA from 1 species
UUCAGUAGGGAAGAAGCGAAAGUGACGGUACCUGCAGAAGAAGCGCCGGCUGACUACGUGCCAGCAGCCGCGGUAAUACGUAGGGCGCAAGCGUUAUCCGGAAUUAUUGGGCGUAAAGAGCUCGUAGGCGGUUUGUCGCGUCUGCCGUGAAAGUCCGAGGCUCAACUUCGGAUCUGCGGUGGGUACGGGCAGACUAGAGUGAUGUAGGGGAGACUGGAAUUCCUGGUGUAGCGGUGAAAUGCGCAGAUAUCAGGAGGAACACCGAUGGCGAAGGCAGGUCUCUGGGCAUCUACUGACGCUGAGGAGCGAAAGCAUGGGGAGCGAACAGGAUUAGAUACCCCAG